AUAAGAUUAGUUAAUUUUUAUGUCUGUGGGAGAAAAAUGACUUGUCAUGUCACCUCCUAGCAACUGUUUAUCAAAAAUACAAUUUUUCAUAAAGUCGUAAAAAUAUGUAAAUGGAGGUUGACGCCGGUCUGGUGCCGAAAGGUCAAUGAAGUUGGUGACGAGUCACCGAUCGAAGUUCAUGUGAAUGGUGAUCAUAACUGUAAUGGUCCCAAGAUAUCACAAUUUUUUGUUGUACUAGUUUCGACCUACACAAAAGGCGUAACGAUAUAAUCACUGUAUC
rnacentral:ncRNA from 1 species